rnacentral:rRNA from 1 species
GAUGAACGCUGGCGGCGUGCCUAAUACAUGCAAGUCGAGCGAACGGACGAGAAGCUUGCUUCUCUGAUGUUAGCGGCGGACGGGUGAGUAACACGUGGAUAACCUACCUAUAAGACUGGGAUAACUUCGGGAAACCGGAGCUAAUACCGGAUAAUAUUUUGAACCGCAUGGUUCAAAAGUGAAAGACGGUCUUGCUGUCACUUAUAGAUGUAUCCGCGCUGCAUUAGCUAGUUGGUAAGGUAACGGCUUACCAAGGCAACGAUGCAUAGCCGACCUGAGAGGGUGAGCAGCCACACCGGAACUGAGACACGGUCCAGACUCCUAAGGGAGGCAGCAGUAGGGAAUCUUCCGCAAUGGGCGAAAGCCUGACGGAGCAACGCCGCGUGAGUGAUGAAGGUAUUCGGAUCGUAAAACUCUGUUAUUAGGGAAGAACAUAUGUGUAAGUAACUGUGCACAUCUUGACGGUACCUAAUCAGAAAGCCACGGCUAACUACGUG